GAUUUCAUCGUGGAGCCCACUUUCUCGGUGCUGACGGACGUGGCGGAGAAGAUCGUCCUCCCGCUGGUGGAGGAAGGCUCCAAGUCUAAGUCCUCCUCCAGCCAGCAGAGCAGUUCCCAGUGGAAGCAGCCAUCCCUAGAUGAGCAUUCAGAGCUGGGCGACAUCAACGCUGACAUCACCAGCUUCCGCUCCACAUGGACCAAGUACAUCCAGGAGAACAAGCAGAAGUGGAAGGACCGAGCUGCCAGCGGGAUCACUAACCAGACAUCCAUUGAUGAGCUGUCACCGUGCGAGGAGGAGCCACAUGUGCCCGAAAACCAGCACAAUCAGAACGGCGAUGUGGAAUAGCACAGUCUGCGAGGGAGAGAGGUCCCUUUUCCAACUGAAUGAUGCAGUUUAGUCCAAAGUCUUCGAUGCCAUCGAAAUCAGCACCAUUGCAGGAGGAGCCUCCCCCAGGCCGGAGAGCGAGUGGGAACAACCAUUGCCAAGAUAUAAAAAUUAAUGUAAAACUUAGAGUCAAGGGAAAUUCUGAUGUCACUGAGCACAUGGCCUGAACCCAUCAAAGUCCUUCUUCACCGCCGCCACCCCGGAACCCUGGCCUGGCCAGGCCAGUCACCCGCCCCACCAAGCAGGUACUACAGGCCCCUGUUCCAUCUGCCUCCCUGCUCCACCAGUCCAACUGGGACUAUAAGAGACGUCUCACUGCCCAGCCAGCAAACGCCCGGGGCUGUGGGGCCAGGGCUCUGGCUGUGUCUUUUUAAAUGAUUUGUUCUCUGGAAUCCCAAUGUGUCAGACACUGAGAUGAG
rnacentral:lncRNA from 1 species